GGAAGUGCUUCCUUACUUCCAGCAUAUGGUGUUGCUGUUACGAUCCUUGUCAAGGAGGUAGCAAGUAUUUACCUGGCCGUUUGGUUGGCUUUAGCCUGCAGAGAAAUUUUAACCUCAAAACUGAAUCAUGAGAAGGAUUUGUCAGCAUAGCAUUUGCUAUGCAAAAUUUACAUGCAGCUGCUUUGAACUAAAUUCCUGGCAGAAGUGAAAGGAUUUUGAGGCUUCCAAAUCUUAGCUGACUUCUGUUUUGUGCAGACAGAAAUCCAUCUGAUACGUACUUCUCUAAAGAUCCCUCCUAGCCAUAUUUUACUACCUCAUGAUGAGAGACCAGUGAUGUCUACCUGCUGUACAACUGUUCUGUGAGGUGCCAAAAGGCUCCCUGCACAAGUACACAGAGUAUCCUGGACCUUUGGGAGAUCACAACCUUGCCUUGGUUUUUGUGUGGUUGCACUGCCUUAGUCUGGAUCCCUCCACUGAAGGUGCUUAAAG